rnacentral:rRNA from 1 species
UACGGAGGGUGCAAGCGUUGCUCGGAAUCAUUGGGCGUAAAGCGCGUGUAGGCGGCCAACUAAGUCUGAUGUGAAAUCCCAGGGCUCAACCCUGGAACUGCAUCGGAUACUGGAUGGCUAGAGGAUGAGAGAGGAUGGUGGAAUUCCUGGUGUAGGGGUGAAAUCCGUAGAUAUCAGGAGGAACAUCGGUGGCGAAGGCGGCCAUCUGGCUCAUUUCUGACGCUGAGACGCAAAAGCGUGGGGAGCAAACAGG